rnacentral:rRNA from 1 species
AGAGUUUGAUCCUGGCUCAGAACGAACGCUGGCGGCGUGCCUAACACAUGCAAGUCGUACGAGAAAAUCCGCUUCGGCGGGUGAGUAAAGUGGCGCACGGGUGAGUAACGCGUGGAUAAUCUGCCUUUAAGCGGGGAAUAACUUACCGAAAGGUGGGCUAAUACCCCAUAAAGCUAUGGAGCUCCGGUUUUCAUAGCCAAAGAGAGCCUCUGCAUGCAAGCCCUCACUUAGAGACGAGUCCGCGUACCAUUAGCUAGUUGGUGGGGUAAUGGCCUACCAAGGCGACGAUGGUUAGCUGGUCUGAGAGGAUGAUCAGCCACACUGGAACUGAGACACGGUCCAGACUCCUACGGGAGGCAGCAGUGAGGAAUAUUGCGCAAUGGGGGCAACCCUGACGCAGCAACGCCGCGUGAGUGAGGAAGGUUUUCGGAUCGUAAAGCUCUGUCGGGUGGGAAGAAAUGUAUGGAGGUUAACAGCCUUUGUACUUGACGGUACCGCCAAAGGAAGCACCGGCUAACUCCGUGCCAGCAGCCGCGGUAAUACGGGGGGUGCUAGCGUUGUUCGGAAUCAUUGGGCGUAAAGAGCGUGUAGGCGGCUAGGCAAGUCAGAUGUGAAAUCCCUGGGCUUAACCCAGGACGUGCAUUUGAAACUGCUUGGCUUGAGUAGGGAAGAGGGAAGUGGAAUUCCCGGUGUAGAGGUGAAAUUCGUAGAUAUCGGGAGGAACACCAGUGGCGAAGGCGGUUUCCUGGCCUGAUACUGACGCUGAGGCGCGAAAGCGUGGGAAGCAAACAGGAUUAGAUACCCUGGUAGUCCACGCGGUAAACGGUGAAC